ensembl:lncRNA
CCGGGACCGACAGGGUGACCUCAGAGCUCGAACCUGAGCCCCACGAGGUGGGCUCACCCGCUGAGCUCCAACAAAAGGUCCAAGUCAAGUCUCACGUCCCUGAGCUCCAGGUCCAGCCUCCAGUCCCUGAGCUCCAGGUCCAGCCGCCAGCCCCUGAGCUCCAGGUCCAGCCGCCAGCCCCUGAGCUCCAGGUCCAGCCUCCAGUCCCUGAGCUCCAGGUCCAGCCUCCAGUCCCUGAGCUCCAGGUCCAGCCUCCAGUCCCUGAGCUCCAGGUCCAGCUUCCAAUCCUUGAGCUCCAGGUCCAGCCUCCAGUCAGGAAGGUCCAGGUCAAGUCUCACGUCCCUGAGGUCCAAGCCAAGCCUCCAGGCUCUG